AUUGAACGCUGGCGGCAGGCCUAACACAUGCAAGUCGAGCGGCAGCGGGAAAGUAGCUUGCUACUUUUGCCGGCGAGCGGCGGACGGGUGAGUAAUGCCUGGGAAAUUGCCCAGUCGAGGGGGAUAACAGUUGGAAACGACUGCUAAUACCGCAUACGCCCUACGGGGGAAAGCAGGGGACCUUCGGGCCUUGCGCGAUUGGAUAUGCCCAGGUGGGAUUAGCUAGUUGGUGAGGUAAUGGCUCACCAAGGCGACGAUCCCUAGCUGGUCUGAGAGGAUGAUCAGCGACACUGGAACUGAGACACGGUCCAGACUCCUACGGGAGGCAGCAGUGGGGAAUAUUGCACAAUGGGGGAAACCCUGAUGCAGCCAUGCCGCGUGUGUGAAGAAGGCCUCCGGGUUGUAAAGCACUUUCAGCGAGGAGGAAAGGUUGAUGCCUAAUACGUAUCAACUGUGACGUUACUCGCAGAAGAAGCACCGGCUAACUCCGUGCCAGCAGCCGCGGUAAUAC
rnacentral:rRNA from 1 species